rnacentral:tRNA from 1 species
UGGCGAUUAGCUCAGUUGGGAGAGCACCUCCCUUACAAGGAGGGAGCGGUAUCGCCCA